rnacentral:rRNA from 1 species
AGGAUGAACGCUAGCGGCAGGCUUAAUACAUGCAAGUCGUGGGGCAGCAUGAGUAGCAAUACUUGAUGGACGACCGGCAAACGGGUGAGGAACACGUACACAACCUUCCUUCAAGCGGGGAAUAGCCCAGAGAAAUUUGGAUUAAUACCCCAUAAUAUAUUGAUAAGGCAUCUUAUUAAUAUUAAAGCUUCGGCACUUGAUGAUGGGUGUGCGGCUGAUUAGAUAGUUGGCGGGGUAACGGCCCACCAAGUCUACGAUCAGUAGCUGAUGUGAGAGCAUGAUCAGCCACACGGGCACUGAGACACGGGCCCGACUCCUACGGGAGGCAGCAGUAAGGAAUAUUGGACAAUGGACGAAAGUCUGAUCCAGCCAUGCCGCGUGAAGGAUUAAGGUCCUCUGGAUUGUAAACUUCUUUUAUAUGGGACGAAAAAAGGGCAUUCUUGUUCACUUGACGGUACCAUAUGAAUAAGCACCGGCUAACUCCGUG